rnacentral:rRNA from 1 species
AGUGAACGCUGGCGGUAGGCCUAACACAUGCAAGUCGAGCGGCAGCACAGUAAGAGCUUGCUCUUACGGGUGGCGAGUGGCGGACGGUUGAGGAAUACAUCGGAAUCUACUUUUUCGUGGGGGAUAACGUAGGGAAACUUACGCUAAUACCGCAUACGACCUACGGGUGAAAGCAGGGGAUCUUCGGACCUUGCGCGAUUGAAUGAGCCGAUGUCGGAUUAGCUAGUUGGCGGGGUAAAGGCCCACCAAGGCGACGAUCCGUAGCUGGUCUGAGAGGAUGAUCAGCCACACUGGAACUGAGACACGGUCCAGACUCCUACGGGAGGCAGCAGUGGGGAAUAUUGGACAAUGGGCGCAAGCCUGAUCCAGCCAUACCGCGUGGGUGAAGAAGGCCUUCGGGUUGUAAAGCCCUUUUGUUGGGAAAGAAAAGCAGCAGGUUAAUACCCCGCUGUUCUGACGGUACCCAAAGAAUAAGCACCGGCUAACUUCGU